GAUUGUCGUCUUGAGAACUACAAAGUACGCCACGCCAUUUACCGCUCUAUAUUUUCCUGAAUUGUUUUAUUUUUCUACGUCAUAAAUAUAGGUUUAUUUAGUUUUCAAGCUCUGAGAGAGUUUUGCCAAUGGUUUUGUGUAUGAACAUUGCAAACCAUCAGGAUUCGUCGUUAUCAUGCACAAUAACAAACAGAUCGAGAAACACGAGCAGGAAAUUCUGAACACAAGAGACAUCAAACAGGAAGCCGAUGGUCAAACAAUCCAAAACGGAUCAUUCUCACCAGUCAGCUACCCAUCGCCGUUCCCAAACCCUGCCAUGUUCACCCCCUCUCAACUGCUGAUAGCCACCCAGUUCAUGGCGGCUUUCAGACUGACCCUUCUGGCCAACCUCGCGUUCUUCCAUCCCAGCCUACAGGGACCCCUAACCUGCCGCAGACCUCACCCCCCUUACCACCCAACAGCCAGUAAUUGUCACCAACCUCAAAGGUGAAGUAGAUUCCAAUCAACAAGAACAUUGUCACCAACAGCACGAACGAGCUGAAGGCCGUCGAGAAGAAGAAGUAAAAGAAGCAGAGAGAGGUAAUAUCGUCGCCUUCGAGAUCAACAGGGGCAAGCAGCGUACCUACACCCUUUGCCACAGGUCGUUUGAGUACAAACAUAUCUUGCAGAACCACAUACAGGUGAGGAGUCGUUCGAAUGUCCCGAGUGCCAUAAGAAGAGCACUGGUAGCAUCACUUGAAGACCCACAUGAUGUUAUACAUACCGGAGAAAGACCCUAGCACUGCUAUAGGAAAAUAUGCAGGUUGCUAACAUGAGUAGACAUCUUAGGGUGCACACGAAAAACCUUUCGACUGCAAAAGAUUCCACAGCAUAUUCCGAAGGAGGCAUCAGGGGUAAGAAGUCUACCUACACCAUUUGCCACAGGCUGUUUGGGUACAAACAUAUCUUGCAAAACCACGAACAUACACAUGCAGGUGAGAAGUCGUUAGAAUGUCCCGAGUGCAAUAAGAAGCUCACUAGUAGCAUCACUUGAAGACCCACAUGAGGUUAUACAUACCAGAGAAAGAACCUAGCACUCUGAUAGGCAGAUAUGCAGGUUGCUUAUCUGAGAAGACAUCUUAGGGUGCAUACAAGUGAAAGACCUUACGCUUGUGAAUAGUGUAGAAACGAAUUCUCAGAAUUCAACCAGCUGAAGGCGCACCAAUGAAAAACCUUUCGACUGCAGAAGAUGCCACUGGAGAUUCUGAAGAAGGCAUCAUCUGCUCCAUCCCUAGGUGCGGAGUCAAUAAAGAUAUCAAGGAGGAAUUGAACGAAAUGGCGGAGAUUGUCAAAAAGCACACCCAUGACUGUACAUACACCCAUUCUCCUCCUCCCUACUUGAGCAGACAAAAACGGAAGGCUUGUAGAUGAUAAUGCAUUCCCGCCUCUACUCGUUUGAUUCAGACGACCAAUAUACAGUGUGUGUAAAAAAAAGAGUACGUCAUCCUGCAACAAUUGUUUGAGUGAGCUGAAAAUUAGAAUGAGGUCCUUCAGAGUUUAUCCAGUGUCAUUCCAUACCAUAAAUAAAUCUCAACCGCAGAAUGAAGAAGACAAGUUUACUGUAGUGAUGAAAGAUGUUAUCGAGCAGUCGAAAAAAGAGUAUGCAUUCCUGCAACAAAUGUUUGAGGAAUCAGAAUGACAUCCUAGCGGAGUUGAAUGUCUUUGUCUUAAAGAAGUACGACCAGAACGAAUUAUUCACAGACUUGAAAAUUUACAAAGAUGAUUUCAUUGAAUCGAAAAAAAAUUCCUAUAAAAAAAGCGAAAUCGAGAAAAAUAAAGGAAUUGCUCGGUUGAGGAGAGAAAACGCUGCAGGAGAAAAUGGAUUACAAGAAGUUAAACCUACAUUGAAAGAAUUAACUGAUAUGGAUUUCAAGAAGACGAUAUGAACAGUUCUGGCACUUUGAUGAAGAAGUAAAAAGUAAGGAUUUUAGAACCAAGGACGGCGUAGAACCUCUGUAUACCACAGUAUAGACCACAUAUCUUUGAGAUGAGCCUCUUAAGGAAGGGGAAUGUGAAGUAACAAUCCCAUCAAAAUCCUAUGUGGAAAAAUUGAAAAAAAAUUCUGAA